AAAGGUCUGGUAGUGUAACAUGGUCUGGAGUAGGGCAAAGGUCUGGUAGUGUAACAUGGUCUGGAGUAGGGUAAAGGUCUGGUAGUGUAACAUGGUCUGGAGUAGGGUAAAGGUCUGGUAGUGUAACAUGGUCUGGAGUAGGGUAAAGGUCUGGUAGUGUAACAUGGUCUGGAGUAGGGUAAAGGUCUGGUAGUGUAACAUGGUCUGGAGUAGGGUAAAGGUCUGGUAGUGUAACAUGGUCUGGAGUAGGGUAAAGGUCUGGUAGUGUAACAUGGUCUGGAGUAGGGUAAAGGUCUGGUAGUGUAACAUGGUCUGGAGUAGGGUAAAGGUCUGGUAGUGUAACAUGGUCUGGAGUAGGGUAAAGGUCUGGUAGUGUAACAUGGUCUGGAGUAGGGUAAAGGUCUGGUAGUGUAACAUGGUCUGGAGUAGGGUAAAGGUCUGGUAGUGUAACAUGGUCUGGAGUAGGGUAAAGGUCUGGUAGUGUAACAUGGUCUGGA